AUGAAAACAUCAUCAAAACAGUUCAUACAGAAGGAAGACUACUCUCUGGAAAAGCCAGCAGCCCGUAACUUCCUCAAUGUAUUUCAUCAGCUAUUCCUUUUGUUAGGAAAAAAUGUCCAGUUUAAAGUAGGUUGGCAUGCUCUUUGCUGUCCAGUUCCAGUCUCCAUGCUACAGCACCACUGCAUAGUAAGUACACAAAAUAUGAGUUUGUUUCACAUAGGGUAACCGUGUCAUUGUACCUUCAAUUCCAUCUUUGAACAUUGCAGUGCUGUCAGACCUCUUAUAUAUAAGGUGUUCAUGCUAGUGAUGUACUUCAUAUAUUCCCAAGUAUUUAACUCACUCUACAUGCAGGAGCUCUGUGACCACAGCUGAUUUGUAGGCAUUACUCCUCAGACUGUAAAGAGUCCUCACAAUCUCUAAUAUUUCACCUGUGGAGACUUCUUAGGUUGCUGGAUCCACCUGUCUGUCCAUCCUUCUGCCACUGCUUAGCCACAGUGUAUCAUAGCCUGGCAUGUUCUCUUAAAUCACCAACAACUGUACUUCGUGUUGACACACCAGUCUAUAAUGUAUGGCAGUUAAGAAAGGACCUUCUGCCCUUUUGCUUCCAGCAAGAACAGAGCAGAUAACUAGGGAGGCAGGAAAGGGUGACACUUUAAACUGACGCAGCAUGAAUCUAUGAAGAUGGUGACUCCGUCUUUGAUUUCCAACUUUAUCUGGUAGGCUAGUUAGCAGGGUUAGGUUCUGGCAACUUAUAGUGUCUCAAAUACCACUUCUCCUGUCUUCAUAUUUCUCUAUUUUAUAAUAUAUAUUUCCUUUCUUUACUUUCGCAUUAUACACAAACACACACACACACACAUUUAUAUACAUCUUCUGCAAUGUGUCUAAAAUACUCAUUAACAUUUUCCUGUUAAAAUUUCAAUGGUGCCUGUGAGCUGAGUGGGUUUCUGAGAACAUGGUCAGACAUGUCUAUGAUUUGACAAUAAAAACUAACCAUAGGAGGCUCA
rnacentral:lncRNA from 1 species